AAUAGUUAAUGUUUUAUCCAAAGACAUAUAGGAACUUUACUUCACUUACUAUUAACCAUUAUUUAUAAUGAUAGACAUGUUCAGACUGCAAAAAAAGCUAUGGCUAAUGACAUAGAAAGGGGUUUGAGUCAGUAACACAGCCCAUACAGAGGAGAGCAAACCCGCUGAUGCUUAAUGCCCCUGCCAUGGCAGUGUCUACAGGGAACAAGGGG